rnacentral:tRNA from 1 species
UGGGUCAGUCGCAUAGUGGCAAUUGCAGAAGACUGUAAAUCUUCCCCGAAAGGUUCGUUGGUUCGAGUCCAACCUGACCCACCAU